rnacentral:rRNA from 1 species
AUUGAACGCUGGCGGAAUGCUUUACACAUGCAAGUCGAACGGUAGAGGGGGCAACCCCUCAAGAGUGGCGAACGGGUGAGUAAUAUAUCGGAACGUGCCCAGUCGUGGGGGAUAACGUAGCGAAAGUUACGCUAAUACCGCAUACGAUCUAAGGAUGAAAGCGGGGGAUCGCAAGACCUCGCGCGAUUGGAGCGGCCGAUAUCAGAUUAGGUAGUUGGUGGGGUAAAGGCUCACCAAGCCAACGAUCUGUAGCUGGUCUGAGAGGACGACCGGCCACACCGGACCUGAGACACGGUCCAGACUCCUACGGGAGGCAGCAGUGGGGAAUUUUGGACAAUGGACGCAAGUCUGAUCCAGCCAUUCCGCGUGCAGGAUGAAGGCCCUCGGGUUGUAAACUGCUUUUGUACGGAACGAAAAGGUCUCUCUUAAUACGGGGGGCUCAUGACGGUACCGUAAGAAUAAGCACCGGCUAACUACGUGCCAGCAGCCGCAGUAA